CUCAGUUUUCGGACUCUUUCAGUGCCUACCUAUCAUCCGUGUGAACAAGGUGAUGAGACAGGCAUCGGCCAAGCAACGCAAGAUCGUUUACGGCGUUGAUCCCNNNNNNNNNUACCCGUUACGCAAGUGGAGUUGAUUGGGGAAAGCCAACCUCGGUCCACUCGUCGGACCCCCGAUAUACAGACACAUCAUACACAGAAAAUCCCGCAUCAGCUGCCCCACCUCGGUUCCCGCGGGACGAGGACAUGAGUAAACCAGUUUAUUUUUACGGA
rnacentral:misc_RNA from 1 species